rnacentral:rRNA from 1 species
GACGAACGCUGGCGGCGUGCCUAAUACAUGCAAGUAGAACGCACAGGAUGCACCGUAGUUUACUACACCGUAUUCUGUGAGUUGCGAACGGGUGAGUAACGCGUAGGUAACCUGCCUGGUAGCGGGGGAUAACUAUUGGAAACGAUAGCUAAUACCGCAUAAGAACAUUUACUGCAUGGUAGAUGUUUAAAAGGUGCAAAUGCAUCACUACCAGAUGGACCUGCGUUGUAUUAGCUAGUAGGUGAGGUAACGGCUCACCUAGGCGACGAUACAUAGCCGACCUGAGAGGGUGAUCGGCCACACUGGGACUGAGACACGGCCCAGACUCCUACGGGAGGCAGCAGUAGGGAAUCUUCGGCAAUGGGGGGAACCCUGACCGAGCAACGCCGCGUGAGUGAAGAAGGUUUUCGGAUCGUAAAGCUCUGUUGUUAAGGAAGAACGAGUGUGAGAAUGGAAAGUUCAUACUGUGGCGUACUAACCAG